rnacentral:sRNA from 1 species
UUUAUACAAGCGCAGUAACAAC